rnacentral:rRNA from 1 species
AGUGAACGCUGUCGGUAGGCCUAACACAUGCAAGUCGAACGGCAGCACAGUAAGAGCUUGCUCUUACGGGUGGCGAGUGGCGGACGGGUGAGGAAUACAUCGGUAUCUACUUUUUCGUGGGGGAUAACGUAGGGAAACUUACGCUAAUACCGCAUACGACCUACGGGUGAAAGCAGGGGAUCUUCGGACCUUGCCCGACUGAAUGAGCCGAUGUCGGAUUAGCUAGUUGGCGGGGUAAAGGCCCACCAAGGCGACGAUCCGUAGCUGGUCUGAGAGGAUGAUCAGCCACACUGGAACUGAGACAAGGUCCAGACCCCCACGGAGGGGAGGAGAAGGGAAUAUUAGACAAUAGGCGAAAACCUGAUCCAGCCACACCGCGUGGGUGAAGAAGGUCUUCAGGUUGUAAAGCCCUUUUGUUAGGAAAGACAAGCAGAAGGUUAAUACCCAGAUGUUAUGCCGGUACCCAAAGAAUAAGCACCGGCUAACUUCGUG